AGAGUUUGAUCAUGGCUCAGAACGAACGCUGGCGGCGUGCCUAACACAUGCAAGUCGAGCGAGAAAGCCCGCAAGGGUGAGUACAGCGGCGCACGGGUGCGUAACACGUGGGUAAUCUUCCUCGAAGCCCGGAAUAACUCCCCGAAAAGGGGUGCUAAUGCCGGAUGAGACCACGGGAUCCUCGGAUCCUGAGGGAAAAGGCGGCCUCUGUAUACAAGCUGUCACUUCGAGAUGAGCCCGCGGCCCAUCAGCUCGUUGGCGGGGUAAUGGCCCACCAAGGCUACGACGGGUAGCUGGUCUGAGAGGACGAUCAGCCACACUGGAACUGAGACACGGUCCAGACUCCUACGGGAGGCAGCAGUGGGGAAUCUUGCGCAAUGGGCGAAAGCCUGACGCAGCAACGCCGCGUGUGUGAUGAAGGUCUUCGGAUCGUAAAGCACUGUCGGGAGGGACGAAUAAGGGGCGGGCUAACAUCCCGUUCCGAUGACGGUACCUCCAAAGGAAGCACCGGCUAACUCUGUGCCAGCAGCCGCGGUAAUACAGAGGGUGCAAGCGUUGUUCGGAAUUAUUGGGCGUAAAGCGCGUGUAGGCGGCCAAGCAAGUCGGGUGUGAAAGCCCUCGGCUUAACCGAGGAAGUGCGCCCGAAACUAUUUGGCUUGAGUACCGGAGAGGGUGGCGGAAUUCCCGGUGUAGAGGUGAAAUUCGUAGAUAUCGGGAGGAACACCAGUGGCGAAGGCGGCCACCUGGACGGAUACUGACGCUGAGACGCGAAAGCGUGGGUAGCAAACAGGAUUAGAUACCCUUGUAGUCC
rnacentral:rRNA from 1 species